UACGUAGGGUGCAAGCGUUGUCCGGAAUUAUUGGGCGUAAAGAGCUCGUAGGCGGUUUGUCGCGUCUGCUGUGAAAACCCGCGGCUUAACCGUGGGCUUGCAGCCGAUACGGGCAGGCUAGAGUUCGGUAGGGGAGACUGGAAUUCCUGGUGUAGCGGUGAAAUGCGCAGAUAUCAGGAGGAACACCGGUGGCGAAGGCGGGUCUCUGGGCCGAAACUGACGCUGAGGAGCGAAAGCGUGGGGAGCAAACAGG
rnacentral:rRNA from 1 species